rnacentral:rRNA from 1 species
UACGGGGGGGGCAAGCGUUGUUCGGAAUUACUGGGCGUAAAGGGCUCGUAGGCGGCCAACUAAGUCAGACGUGAAAGCCCCGGGCUCAACCUGGGAACUGCAUCCAAAACUGGCAAGCUAGAGUACGGUAGAGGGUGGUGGAAUUUCCUGUGUAGCGGUGAAAUGCGUAGAUAUAGGAAGGAACACCAGUGGCGAAGGCGACCACCUGGACUGAUACUGACACUGAGGUGCGAAAGCGUGGGGAGCAAACAGG